rnacentral:rRNA from 1 species
UGGGUCCUACGGGGGGCAGCAGUGGGGAAUAUUGCACAAUGGGGGAAACCCUGAUGCAGCAACGCCGCGUGAGUGAAGAAGUAUUUCGGUAUGUAAAGCUCUAUCAGCAGGGAAGAAAAUGACGGUACCUGAGUAAGAAGCCCCGGCUAACUACGUGCCAGCAGCCGCGGUAAUACGUAGGGGGCAAGCGCUAUCCGGAUUUACUGGGUGUAAAGGGAGCGUAGACGGCUGUGCAAGCCAGAUGUGAAAGCCCGGGGCUCAACCCCGGGACUGCAUUUGGAACUGUGUGGCUGGAGUGUCGGAGG